AAAUCAAACUCCAAAAUGACCACAAGCCUUUGGAUUAUGGACCGGGCCGGGUAUUUUAGUCAAAUCCACUUCAAUCUCCGUUUAAACCCUGCCACUCCGUUUUUUCUCUUCUUCUCGUGCUUCGGCGGAAAUCGGCUUAGCUCUUCGACCGGCAUUGCUAGCAGAAUUAUAAUUUUAUGGAGGUCAUUUUAGGGUAAAAUAGGAUUAACUAUGGUUGCACCACGUUAGCUCUUUGGAGUCAAGGUACGCAUUACAUAAAUUCUGCCACACACAUAACUAUGGUUGCACCUCAGGAACGUGACAAGCUAUUUUGAUUCAGCUAAGCAGCUUGUGAAUGGGAUUCCCCUGCCACUAGAUCUUGGAUCCAACAUUGAUGAUGUAAAAGUGAAAGUCACCACGGCUGCUGAUUCUCUCUCCAAGAAGGCUAAAGAAAAUUCAAGGAUGAUACACAAAGUCAUAGAUGGAGUGAGACUGGCUCUUGUUACUGUUGCUGUUGUUAUGAUCUUUGUUGCAUUUCUCGGAUUGUUAUUUUCUUUACUUGCUUUGUCGUGUCCUGUAUACUCCUUGGUGGUUAUUGGAUGGAUUCUUGUUACAGGCACCUUGUUACUUUGUGCUGCAUUUCUAUUUGUCCCUAAGUAAGUUCCUAUAUAUUGCUUGGAGUCAAUUGUUCAACUUCAUGAAAUCAAUACAAAGCUUGUAAUGGAUAGAUAAUUGGAUCGAAUUAAUGAAUUCAUUAACUAAUGUUACACUUGCAUAUAUGCAUAUGUAUAUUUUUGAACUAAAAAAUAGUAGUAAUGUAUAAGAUCAUAGGGCAGAGUAAUUGGUGUGUUGGGUUGGAGUUAGCUGGAGCUGGGUUUCUUGUGUGGUGUGUUGGUGUUAUGGCUGAGGGAUGAAGAAAGAUAAGGUGUCUCUCCGACUCCGAAUAAUGGGAAGAAGCUAAAGGACGAAAGCGAUUUUUGACGAAUUGGCUGUAAAUGUCCAUUACAUGGAAUGCUUUGGUUCCUUUGCUCCCAUAAGAGGUUUGACUGAAGAUGGGAGCCAAGCCCAAUGGUUUGUAGAUGGACAGGCAACAUUUGAAGCAAUUGCGACUUCAAUUCAAGAUGCAAAAUCUUCAUUACGGGUUGGUGGUUGUGCCCAGAGCUAUAUCUGAGACGGCCUUUUGAUAGCUUUUAUACCUCUCGGUUAGAUUCGUUACUAGAAGAAAAGGCUAACCAAGGGGUUCAAGGUUCAAUUCUAGGUGUUGAGGUCAACGUUUCUAGAAAAUCAUAUUCUACUCAACUGGUUGUCAUGGAAGAUGAGAAUGGGAACCAAAAUUCUGCGCCACCUCAAAACGAAGGGUUUCUCAUCCCGAAUGUAUUUACUUUAGCUAUACCGCAGGACUUGUCUCAUCCUUUCCUUGCCAAGGCAAUCAAGUAAUUUUAUUCAUUGUUCACCACCUCUCUCAUCCCCUCUUCCUUUGAGCCAAAGCAAAAGUAUGAAAAAUAAAAUGAGGUACUUAGAUCAACUUGGAAUAGCAUCCUGCUACAGCACUAAAGUCUAUUGCAGGCAGACUUUAAUUGGAGGGAACUAUGGCCUUCUCAAUACCACCACCUUUGCUCCCAAUCUUGACUACUACAGUGCAGUUUUGUGGCAUCGGCUAAUGGGAAAGAAGGUUCUUGCGAUCUCAAGUGAUGUUCAUAUUAAAGACUUUUACCUAUAAUUAGGAAAUGUAAGUAGAAGUUAAUGACUUUUACCUACAGUUGAAGAUAAUAGGUACAUAUUAAAGACUUUUACCUACAGUUAGGAAAUGUAAGUAGAAGUUAAUGACUUUUACCUACACACUAUACAUAGUAGGUAAAACCUAUAGUGACAGACAAUUAGCUGUCACUAUACGCCCCCUCAAAGUUGACAGAAGAAACGUCUGUAGGACAAAGUCUAUCGUACAUUUACCUACAGAUUUUUUAUUUACAGUGACAGUUUUUGUCUAUAGGUAUAGGUCAUUUUUCUUGUAGUGAUAGUUAAAAAGAUUUGAGUAUUGCCUCCAACUCAACCUUUCCCGGUCACAAUAAAAGAAAGUUCACUGUUCAUGGUUAGAAUCUCAAGUCUUUUACAGAAUUCA